UUGAAAAGAAUGUUAUUAAAUUUCGCUGCAAUUCUGUCAGAUCUUCUGAUAUUAGAGGAAGAUCACAGUUGUCUAAGAGCUUGAGUCUUCUGUUACUUCCAAGAAUCAUAACCUUAGUUUUUGAAAAAUUUAUUUCAAGGCCAACUUCUUUAGCCCAAUCAGCUACUGCUUCCCCAUCAGUCGUAAGUUUAAUUGCUGCUUGCAUUUUUCCGGAUCAAACUUUUUGGCGAAAAAACAGCGAAAGGAUGCAUUUGUAAAAUGGCAUCUGCACUGAUGACCAAAAAUGUUGAAAAAAAUUACUCUGGUACUGGGAAAAGAAUAAAAGGCGUGGGAAAACUUAAUUUUAGCGCAACAGAAACAUUUAAGUGUAUGGAAGAUGUAGUAAAAGAGAAACUUGGUAACUGUGAAGAUUGCAAAAAAUUUGCUGGAAAAGUUGGCCGGUGGUUGUGAGGGCAAGGAGAUCGAGAACAGGGUCGAAAACAAAGAUCCUUAU